AGAGUUUGAUCCUGGCUCAGGAUGAACGCUGGCGGCGUGCCUAAUACAUGCAAGUCGAGCGAACGGACGAGAAGCUUGCUUCUCUGAUGUUAGCGGCGGACGGGUGAGUAACACGUGGAUAACCUACCUAUAAGACUGGGAUAACUUCGGGAAACCGGAGCUAAUACCGGAUAAUAUUUUGAACCGCAUGGUUCAAAAGUGAAAGACGGUCUUGCUGUCACUUAUAGAUGGAUCCGCGCUGCAUUAGCUAGUUGGUAAGGUAACGGCUUACCAAGGCAACGAUGCAUAGCCGACCUGAGAGGGUGAUCGGCCACACUGGAACUGAGACACGGUCCAGACUCCUACGGGAGGCAGCAGUAGGGAAUCUUCCGCAAUGGGCGAAAGCCUGACGGAGCAACGCCGCGUGAGUGAUGAAGGUCUUCGGAUCGUAAAACUCUGUUAUUAGGGAAGAACAUAUGUGUAAGUAACUGUGCACAUCUUGACGGUACCUAAUCAGAAAGCCACGGCUAACUACGUGCCAGCAGCCGCGGUAAUACGUAGGUGGCAAGCGUUAUCCGGAAUUAUUGGGCGUAAAGCGCGCGUAGGCGGUUUUUUAAGUCUGAUGUGAAAGCCCACGGCUCAACCGUGGAGGGUCAUUGGAAACUGGAAAACUUGAGUGCAGAAGAGGAAAGUGGAAUUCCAUGUGUAGCGGUGAAAUGCGCAGAGAUAUGGAGGAACACCAGUGGCGAAGGCGACUUUCUGGUCUGUAACUGACGCUGAUGUGCGAAAGCGUGGGGAUCAAACAGGAUUAGAUACCCUGGUAGUCCACGCCGUAAACGAUGAGUGCUAAGUGUUAGGGGGUUUCCGCCCCUUAGUGCUGCAGCUAACGCAUUAAGCACUCCGCCUGGGGAGUACGACCGCAAAGUUGAAACUCAAAGGAAUUGACGGGGACCCGCACAAGCGGUGGAGCAUGUGGUUUAAUUCGAAGCAACGCGAAGAACCUUACCAAAUCUUGACAUCCUUUGACAACUCUAGAGAUAGAGCCUUCCCCUUCGGGGGACAAAGUGACAGGUGGUGCAUGGUUGUCGUCAGCUCGUGUCGUGAGAUGUUGGGUUAAGUCCCGCAACGAGCGCAACCCUUAAGCUUAGUUGCCAUCAUUAAGUUGGGCACUCUAAGUUGACUGCCGGUGACAAACCGGAGGAAGGUGGGGAUGACGUCAAAUCAUCAUGCCCCUUAUGAUUUGGGCUACACACGUGCUACAAUGGACAAUACAAAGGGCAGCGAAACCGCGAGGUCAAGCAAAUCCCAUAAAGUUGUUCUCAGUUCGGAUUGUAGUCUGCAACUCGACUACAUGAAGCUGGAAUCGCUAGUAAUCGUAGAUCAGCAUGCUACGGUGAAUACGUUCCCGGGUCUUGUACACACCGCCCGUCACACCACGAGAGUUUGUAACACCCGAAGCCGGUGGAGUAACCUUUUAGGAGCUAGCCGUCGAAGGUGGGACAAAUGAUUGGGGUGAAGUCGUAACAAGGUAGCCGUAUCGGAAGGUGCGGCUGGAUCACCU
rnacentral:rRNA from 1 species